rnacentral:rRNA from 1 species
AUUGAACGCUGGCGGAAUGCUUUACACAUGCAAGUCGAACGGCAGCACGGGGCAACCUGGUGGCGAGUGGCGAACGGGUGAGUAAUACAUCGGAACGUGCCCAAUCGUGGGGGACAACGUAGCGAAAGUUACGCUAAUACCGCAUACGAUCUACGGAUGAAAGCGGGGGAUCGCAAGACCUCGCGCGAAUGGAGCGGCCGAUGUCAGAUUAGGUAGUUGGUGGGGUAAAGGCUCACCAAGCCAACGAUCUGUAGCUGGUCUGAGAGGACGACCAGCCACACUGGAACUGAGACACGGUCCAGACUCCUACGGGAGGCAGCAGUGGGGAAUUUUGGACAAUGGGCGCAAGCCUGAUCCAGCCAUUCCGCGUGCAGGAUGAAGGCCUU